rnacentral:rRNA from 1 species
GAUGAACGCUGGCGGCGUGCCUAAUACAUGCAAGUCGAGCGAACAGACGAGGAGCUUGCUCCUCUGACGUUAGCGGCGGACGGGUGAGUAACACGUGGAUAACCUACCUAUAAGACUGGGAUAACUUCGGGAAACCGGAGCUAAUACCGGAUAAUAUAUUGAACCGCAUGGUUCAAUAGUGAAAGACGGUUUUGCUGUCACUUAUAGAUGGAUCCGCGCCGCAUUAGCUAGUUGGUAAGGUAACGGCUUACCAAGGCGACGAUGCGUAGCCGACCUGAGAGGGUGAUCGGCCACACUGGAACUGAGACACGGUCCAGACUCCUACGGGAGGCAGCAGUAGGGAAUCUUCCACAAUGGGCGAAAGCCUGACGGAGCAACGCCGCGUGAGUGAUGAAGGUCUUCGGAUCGUAAAACUCUGUUAUUAGGGAAGAAAAAAUGUGUAAGUAACUAUGCACGUCUUGACGGUACCUAAUCAGAAAGCCACGGCUAACUACGUG